ACAUACACUCACGCACACACACACAUGCACACACACACACGCAUACACACUCAGUCACAUAUACAGUCACACACACUCAGUCAUAUACACACUCAGUCACACACACACACGCACACGCUUUACCUGAUCUGUGCACCAGUACCACGCAGCCACGAUGGUCAUUCCUAUGAUCAUUCCCGGCCACGGAAUGUCCCCGGUGACAGCAUCUCGGAAAAUGUGGAAGGAGUCUGGCCGAGGAGUGUAGCACGCGGGGCUAAUUGUCAGGUUGUCCCCUUCGACUAUGGACGGGAUGGCGUUCAUAUACUUCUCCGUAAAACUCUCAUAGCCUCCGACUUCGGCAAAUGCUGCAACGGCAUCGGAUACAAGGCAGUGUUCCCCAGAAACGUGAGACACCCAUUUCCCUAACGACCCCUCCGUGGUGGGAGGCACUCCGGCACCUCCCAUCGGCCUGGUCGUGUUCUCAGGACCCUUCUCUCGGAUCCACAGUCCCUUGACUUCCACCCCCACGGCCCCGUUCACACGGCCAUCACUUACCAAACCCCAUGAGGAUGAACGAGCCGAUCAGCAUGAUGAUGGUCUGGAGGGUGUCGGUGUAAAUAACCGAGGCCAAGCCGCCUGUGGAGAGAAGAAAAGAGCCAGGGUGUUUGACUCAGGUGCCCUCCCCUACUUGCCUUCGCCUUUAGGUUCUCUUCUACCCAAACCCCUGAAGUGACUCAGCAGAAAACAGAUCGGAAGCUCCUGGUGGCAUCAUCAUCAUCUCCUUGGAAGGUACGUGUCUCAUUGGUGCUCCUGUCUUCCUUGCCUUGCCUCCACUCAACGUUGCUAUCAAUUAUGGUAGAGUUCUACCUUUGUGUGCGCUUUUGAAUAUUAAGUAGGGGGAAAGGCCAGAUUUUAAUAUCAUGAAAAUCUCCCAUAACAACCCCUCAGUUUGCGCUAUUUAGCACAGGAUACCUGCUCUAAAGAACUGGGCGAAGCCAUUUCUGUUCGAGCGUUGGAACAUAUCAUUGUUUCAUUAGUGGAAUACCGUAUAUUACUGUUGACCCACGUUUUGCGGCAAUGUCGUAUAACCACCACCACCAAUAACAACAUCUCUUUCAACUCUAGACUCCCUGGGCGCUUAGCCACCAAGUCAGAGUCAGAAAGGAGAAUCCAACAUUUCUUUUAUGAGAGGGUCUCGGGGAAACAAGAUGGAGCCUGCAAACAGGGGAUCCAGGCCCUCACCUCUCACUGACUCUGAAACACGCGCUCAUGGCAUAACGUGGUUCCGGAACUGUCUUGCUUGUGCAGCUUUGAUCUCUUCUUUAUUUUUUUCCAGCGGAGCUGGGCGAGUUUACUGUGCGUCAGCUGGUGUGCGUGAGACACCCCACCAAUGUGUCUGGUUCAUGGAAACCUGUGUGGAUUGCCGCCACAUACCUUCUCCCCACAAUCAACCCUCCGCUCCAGCCCCCCUUUUCUGAUGCUGCCUCUCAGGGCCCCCAUCAUGCUCAGGCUGCGCCUGACUCUGAGCGGAAUAAAGGGAGAGCCUUACCUUGGCAGCGACAAGGCUAACGCUCAGGUGACACGAGCAGAAGGUAGCAUGGCCGAGCUAAGCACGCAGUGGACUCACCAGUGAUCGUGUAGAUGGCGGUGAUAGCCAAGAGGAUGAAGAUCGCCAGGUAGAGGUCCAGCCCCAGGGCCAGCUUGAUGAAUAUGGCUCCGGAGAAUAUGUCUGACUAUAAUGAGACAGGCAGGGCCAUCAGCCCAUAGCUUCAAUCCCUCUCUUUUUUUUUUAAAGUUUAUUUUUAUUGAUCUCAGAGAGGAAGGGAGAAGGAGAGAGAUAGAAGCAUCAACGAUGAGAGAGAAUCACUGAUUGGCUGCCUCCUGCAUGCCCCACACUGGGGAUUGAGCCUGCAACCAGGGCAUGGGCCUUGUCCGGGAACCGAACCAUGACCUCCUGGUCCAUAGGUCGACACUCAACCACUGAGCCACAUUGUCCGGGCCCUUAGCUUCAAUCUCUUUGCCUAUCUCUCCUUCCAUUGAACUCCCCUAGCCCAACUCCAACCCUGGCAAAAUCCAGUUUCCCACUUACUCUGUGCCUGCACCUAGGGAUGUUUCUUCUGUGUUUCUAACUAACAUGCUUACAUGCCAUUUCCCAUGUUUUUGUUAUGUUUUGGUUUCGAGUGAGGUGAGGGGAAGGGAUACGGGGGCAGGAUUCAGGAUCUGAAGCAAUAGAGGCAGAUUCCUUUGGAGAACCUGGGUUCGGAAGGGGUGUCACAGGAGAUGGGAGAUGUUUUCCUCCCUAAGAUUUGAAAUGAAACCUGGGGCAGGAGGACUGGGGAGGCUGUCCUGUCCUCACUCCUCAUCGUGAUCGGUUUAACCAGUAACCAGGACCCAAUCUGUUAUCAGAGUGUAAUAGCAAGAGUGCACAGAAGGUUGUGCGUAAGAUUAAUCAUUAUUAAUAGCACUUAAAACACGACCUUGUAGGUAAGGAUGGACUCCUGCUACUGUACCUUCUCAGCCAACCACAGACCCUGCACAGUCAGUCACACACAUGCCCCUGACCUUCCUGCUCCUCCAGUCAGCUCCCAUCAUUCCAUCUCGCCCCUGCCCCCCAACCGGGAUCCUUCUGCCACCGGAGGCUGCAUCCCGUGGGCCCCUUCGGCCACUCGCAUUCUGCACAGCGCCUGGUUCAUGCCCUGGAGGAUGUCAAAGCUGUAGAGGUCAGAGCCAGGGGAGGCCUGGGAGGUCACUGAGCCCCGCCCACUGGGGAACAUGGCGAGCCCCUCGCUUCCCUUGGCCCCUCCUCUUUCCUGGCCUGGGGGUUGUGUAAUCCCCCAGCACCCCAUGCAGAUGACUUCCAUUCCCACCCGCUUUCCUGGGCAUCCACAGCAUGCCUUCCGUGCUUGUCCACACACUCCACUCAAGCUCACGCUGAGUAUAUCUGCAGCUAUUAUCAUAAAGUACUAACAAUCUUAUAGUUAAAUUGUUUUUAUUUAAGUGCGUUUUUUAUGUUAAUCCCCACCAAAGGAUAUUUUUCUAUUAAUUUUUAUUUUAUUUUUAAAAUAUUUUUUUAUUUAUUUUAGAGAGGGAGAGAGAGAGAGAAACAUCAAUGAUGAGAGAGAAUCAUUGAUUAGCUGUCUCCUGCAUGCCCCCUAUUGGGGAUCGAGCCUGCAACCCAGGCAUGUGCCCUGACUGGGGAUCGAAUGCGGGACCCUUCAAGCUGAAGGCUGAUGUUCUAUGCACUGAGCCAAACCGGCUAGGGCUUUGUAUUGAUUUUUUAGGAGAGAGCAGAAGGGAGGGGGAGAGACACAGAGAGAGACACACACAUCGAUUGGUUGCCUCCUGUACAUGCCCCAACCGGAGCCAGGGAAGGAGCCUGCAACUGAGGUACGUGCCCUUGACUGGAUUUGAACCUGGAACCCUGUGGUCCACGGGCUGAUGAGCCACACUGGCUCAGGCUCUGGUUAAAUUCUUAACUCCUUAACCAUGUGGUGAACUCCUAGCGCACAGGGAUCCUCGCUCCCCCGGGCUCGGAGCGCCACAUGCACAGGAAGCGCUGGGAGAUGCUCACGCUGCACCUGGCGGGCUCAGCCCCUCAUCGGAGCAGCUGGCUCACUUCCAGCCCCGACUCCGCUCAACAGCAGAGCGAUCGGGGAGUCAGCUUCCUCCCUCAGGAGCGGCCCAGACUCUGCACCCCGGGCCAUAACCUCAUGAGUCACUGAUGUGCCAGCAGCAAGCCGUUACUCUGUCUUUGUUUUCUACACGUGCUGCUGACUCUUCAAACUCCUCUCUGCUUUCCUCGAAAGCAAUACAAGGAUAUAUAAUUUAAAAGCGGUCUUGCAAAGCUUAACACGCCAGGAGCACGGACUCACCGAGAUCCUCAAAGCCACGCAGAUGAAGAGGGAGAGGACGGAGAGGUAGAUCUGGAGCCGCUUCCCCCCGAAGCGCUUCUUGAGGUACUCGGGCAUGGUCAUCACCUGCGGAGACAGGCAGGGCUCACUGGCCCAGCUCAUUCGGUCCCUCCGCACUCACCGAGCACGCGGGCGGGCAGGCCGGUGGCGCCUCGGGAAACCGAGGGGAGGGAGGCAUCGUCUCUCGGGAAAGCAGCAAAGCCGGGUGGACACGGGCGCUGGGAUCGGACAACCUUGGGACGGGCUCGCAGCGCCCACACUGACUAGAAAUGUAACAUUUAGCGAGUGACCCUCUCCCUGGACUCCACGCUUCUCAUCUGUAAAGUAGGGUUUUCAUGGGACGGUAGAUGUAAAAUUCCCGCGCCAUCGCCAAAUGCACGGCAAACGCUCGAUGGAUAAUUUUUAUGAUUUUCACACUGUCAUGUGACAGUCUAGUUAAAACAUUACUUGCAGCCUAGCCGGGUGCAGCUCAGCGGUUGAGCAUCGACCCAGGAACCAGGAGGUCACCGGUUUGAUUCCCGGUCAGGGCACAGGCCCGGGUUGUGGGCUGGAUCCCCAGUGUGGGGCGUGCAGGAGGCAGCCGAUCCAUGGUUCUCUCUCAUCAUUGAUGUUUCUCUCUCUCUCUCCCUCUCCCUUCCUCUCUGAAGUCAAUAAAAAUAUGUUAAAAAAAAAACCAUAAAAAGGCCCAGAGAGACAGAGCAGGCGGAAGGGAAGCCACCACGGCUGCGGUACAUCCUACCCUUCAUCACAAAUGAAACUCCUUUACAAGUGUCAGAAUAGCACGGAUCAGGAGGCAGGAAAAUGCCCCGAGUUGGGGAGGACGUGGGCGAGUGGGAGCCCUCACGGCAGGGAAGGCCUGGGAGCAGGUGGCCGAGCCGUUCGCAGGAGCAGCCCGGCAGCAGGCAGUGGCUCUGGGUCAUUGUAAAUCCAGAGACCAGGGACAAACGGUCUCAGCCAGGUCUCCCGGCUGAGCAGGGAGAAUGAGCGUGUAAAUGGAUGCCGACCAGGCGUGCCCACAGCCCCGCGGGUACUCACCCCUGCCUUGAUGUAUAUGGGGACAAAGAACCAGCCGAGCACCAGCAACAGCACCAGGGCCUGCAGGAAGCCAAGCAGGGAGGGUGGCGUCAGAGAGGCCUGGCCUGGGGGCCGUGUCGUCUCACGGCCUCGGAGUCUGCGGCAAGUCCUCCCUGACUGUCAUCGCCCAUGAUGUCACUUACAUUCCACUCAAAGACUGCGGUGGCGAUGCCCGAAGCCGCCCCGGUGCCCGCCAGCCCCACGAAGUGGCCGCUGCCGAUGUUGCUGGCGAAGAGGGAGGCGCCCAUCUGGAAUCCGAGAGCACAGACGCGGGUCAGAGUUAACAGACUCCAAUCAGGCUUCCGAACCGCAGGGACACGUGGCGGUGUUCCCAUGGCUACCCCUGAGGCCAGGAGCCCGCACACCACAGCCCGUGGGCUGAACCCGGUGUCCGUAGGGUUGGUGCGCCAAAGGUAUUUCUUCCGUUUUUGAAUGGUUAACAAGAAAACUAGCCCAGCGGGCGUGGCCCAGUGGUUGAGCAUCAACCUAUGAACCAGGAGGUCACGGUUCGAUUUCCGCCAGUCAAGACACAUGCCCGGGUUGUGGGCUUGAUCUCCAGUAGGGGGCGUGCAGGAGGCAGCUGAUCAAUGAUUCUCUCUCACCAUUGAUGUUUCUCUCCCUCUCCCUCUCCCUCUCCUUCUCUCUCUCUCCUUCUUCUCCCUCCCUCUCUGAAAAAAAACAACAAAAGAUGAGCACACCCAAUGUUUUCUUUACUCUUACACACACACACACACACACACACACACACACACACACACACACACACUUCAUCUCCCGGAAGCUCUGCCCACUCACCGGCCACCAGACCAUGUCCCGGCCAGCCAGGAAGAAGCCCCCAACGGUGCCCCGGUUGGUCUUCAGCAUGGCCUGCGCGGAGGGAAGACGUGGGUCAGACCACAGCCGCUGCACCAAGGUGCCCCCGGGGCCAGGUCACGGUGCCGAUGAAACGGACCCUUUCCAGGUCCCCAGAAGAGAGAAACGUUCUCCUGGAGACUGCCAGGUAGCACUGACUUUUAAAGGAUCAAACCAGAAACCCGGGGACUUCCGGGAUGAUAUUCCUCAACGUUCGUCCUAACUGCUCUGGUUGGUUUCAUUUAGGAAGACAUUGGGGAGAUAGCUGUAAUGCUGCCCACAGUACGAAACAGGAAAACGCUGUGAGUGAGGUGUCUCUGAAGCUGCGUGUGGAAGGAAGUCCGUAGCCUUCAAUCCGUUACCAAAAGAAAGAAGGGGCAUCAGUGAACUCAGCAUCCAACUCAACUGUGGUAGAAAGUGAGAAAAUAACAAAGGGAAAUAAGAGAAGUGAGAUAAGAAAAACCAUGGCGCCCGGCCAGCAUGGCUCAGCGGUUGAGCAUCGACCUAUGAACCAGGAGGUCACAGUUCGAUUCCCGGUCAGGGCACAGGCCCGGGUUGGGGGCUCGAUCCCCAGUGGGGGACGCGCAGGAGGCA